CCAGAAUAAAUCUGACAGUCAUGCUAGCCCUGGCAACUGUGCCCCCAUGGGGAAGUGGUGCCAAGGACAGAACUGCAACAUUAUGAAGGGUUAUCUUCAAGUGUUUGCCUUAAACUAACAUUAAAGGUUUGAGCAGCACUUUAUGAGCUCAAAGAAACCUUCACAUCAGACUCUACAAAG
rnacentral:lncRNA from 1 species